GGUAUCACGUUUUUCAGGCGGUCUUUUAGUUCCAGAGAUAGUCCUGGUAUGUCUAAAGCUUCUCUUGCAAUUGUUCUUAGCUCUCCUGUAACUUUCUUUUGUAGGUCUUCUCCGUGGUCUCUCCAGAAUUUGUCUUUGUCGUCUUCCGAUCUUAUUUUCCUCUUCUUUCCUUUGUAACUAAAGGAUAGGCCUUGAGGAAAUUCCCACCUGAAGUUAAUUCUAUUACUUUUCAACAAAGUAACCAGGUCUUUAUAGUUAGAUCUGAGAUCCAGAAGGUGUUUCGGAAUGUCCUUAAAUAUCUCCACUCUUGUCUGAUGUAUUUCCAGUGUCUUCUGGAAAUGCAAACCCAAGAUCUUAUCCCUCUCUUCUUUUGUUCGGAGAGUAAUCAAACAGUCUCUCACCUUCUUUCCUCCUGCUUUUCCAAGUCUAAAAGCAUUCACUAUUUUGAAACUGUCUUUUACCAAUUCUGGAUUCCAAAAAUCUGAGAAUUCCUGCGUAAGAAAAUCAACUAAAUUGUCCUUCUCCACUUCAGGUACUGCUCUGACCCUUAAAUUCACUUGUUUCUCUUUCAACUCAAUCAUAGACAGGGUUAACCUAUGGUCUUCAAGUUGUUUAUGUAACGGUGGUAUCUUCCCUUGAACCUCUUUAACCUCUGCAACAGACGCUGUAGCAAUUUCUUUGGCCUCUUCGGCCAAAGCAGAUUUCCUCCAAACACUACACCAUGACCCUCAUCUAUUUGUGCAUGUACAGUGGUACCUCGGUUUACAUAUGCUUCAGGUUACAGACUCCGCUAACCCAGAAAUAGUAGCUCGGGUUAAGAACUUUGCUUCAGGAUGAGAAUAGAAAUUGUGCUCCAGCGGCAGCGGGAGGCCCCAUUAGCUAAAGUGGUGCUUCAGGUUAAGAACAGUUUCAGGUUAAGGAUAGACCUCCGGAACGAAUUAAGUACUUAACCCGAGGUACCACUGUAUUCUUUUCUAUACAUUUUGCAAGGAACAAGCAGUAGUUAAGAUCAACCGCAAAUACGGGUUUAAAUAUGGGCCCUAUGCCUUUAUCUAAAGAAGCAUUGUAACAGAACACAGGCAUUAUUCCAGUCUUAAUGUUUUGAUUGAUUGGUUCUUACUAUAUUUUGACAAUCUGUACUUGCUUUUGGCUUGAGAUGGGAUCAUUGUACAUUGUGUGAACUGCUUCAAUAUUUUGCUGUACCAAGCGGCAUAUACGUUAGUAAAAUGAAUGAAUGAAAUGAAUGCUUGGAGGAAGCCAGGACUGUUUAAAGAGGUACCUUUAAAAGUAUGGCAUUAAUGUGGUCAUUUUUUUUACACCGGCAAAGUACACCUACUCCUAAGGAUGCUGCUGCUUCCUGGCAGGAACAUUGAUGUCCAGCUCCCCAGCAGUGCAGUAUUCAAACCUAAUAUUUCUGCUUCAAGGACACCUCCAAAUAAGGAAACAUUGAAUGCCAAAGCUCCUUUACGGAAGAUGAUCAAGCAAGAAAGAAGGGAAACUGAAACUGAAACUAAACUCGGGAAAGCCCUCCUUCCGCCUCCCACUCCCAGAUACAUUAACCCAGAGUUUUCUAAACUGUGUGUCGCCACACAAUAGUGUGUUAGCUGAAGUAUGUAGGUAUAUUGUGCGAAUUCUCCCCAUGUUCCUCCUGGGGCUGGAAAGUAGAAAGGAAAAUGGGUCUACUAUCCAGCCCCAAUGCAGCACUCACUCUGGGGGUGGAAGAUUAAAAGCUAGGAUGUCAGCACCCAGGAAGCAGAGCAGAAAUGGGAACUCUAUGUUAAGCUUGUCCUACAAGAUCCCAUGACAUUUUCUCUUGAGCUCUAGACAGGUGGUGCUGAAUUUAUGACUUGCCUCUUGCAUCCCAGACUUAUUCUCCCCCAGCUGUGCACAUGCUCAGGUAAAUGGGGCCAGCUGCUGAUUGUUUCUGAGGGAUUUGCAAAGGCUGCUGGGAAAUGAAGUUCACAGGGAGGAAAACUGAGCGAAGACCAGCAACCAGGCAGCUGAGAGAGAAAGAUUCCCUCUCUCUCCUCUUGCAUUUUGAUUCCUAGCCUUCCUGUUCUCUUUUAAAAUUUAAAUCCAAAAUUUAUUUUCAUAUAUUUUCCACAUAGGAACAUUAAAAAUAAGAAGGGAAUAAGAAGGGAAAUAGGGAAGACAGAUUGGCCCACAGGCCAGAGGUUCUACAACCAUGUGCAAUGAGAAAACCUGUUUAAUAAACGUUGUUACAGUAUGUUUAAAACUGCAACCUUGA
rnacentral:lncRNA from 1 species